rnacentral:rRNA from 1 species
GUGGGGAAUAUUGGGCAAUGGGCGAAAGCCUGACCCAGCAACGCCGCGUGAAGGAAGAAGGUCUUCGGAUCGUAAACUUCUAUCCUUGGUGAAGAUAAUGACGGUAGCCGAGAAGGAAGCCCCGGCUAACUACGUGCUAGCAGCCGCGGUAAUACGUAGGGGGCAAGCGUUGUCCGGAAUGAUUGGGCGUAAAGGGCGCGUAGGCGGCCUGGUAAGUCUGGAGUGAAAGUCCUGCUUUUAAGGUGGGAAUUGCUUUGGAUACUGUCGGGCUUGAGUGCAGGAGAGGUAAGUGGAAUUCCCGGUGUAGCGGUGAAAUGCGUAGAGAUCGGGAGGAACACCAGUGGCGAAGGCGACUUACUGGACUGUAACUGACGCUGAGGCGCGAAAGUGUGGGGAGCAAACAGGAUUAGAUACCCGUGUAGUCC